UAGCCCAUGAUCUUCUAUAAAGACUAUAACUGUUUCAUCCUAACUACAGAAACUUAUUAUUUUUCUGUCAAGAUCUAAUGAGUUCUGAACUUCUGAUCAUAGCAUCAUUCAUCCGUUCCUCUGCCUCUCACUUUUAAAACUUUUAUCAGUUUUGAAAUUUAUUGUUCUAGUCUUAUGUGAUCUAUAAAAAUAAUCAAAAGGUAUUCAGCUUUUCUUUUAUAAAUCGUGAUGAGGAUGAUUGUUUUUCUUUCAUGCAGGAUGUGAAAGGAAACUAAGAACUCCUACCUCACGAACCUGUUGAAAAUUUUCUGGAAAGGUUUCGAUUUCUUCAAUGACAAAUGAAAAAUCUUCUGCAAAUCUUAAGGAAUACAAGUUUCUAGGAAAUGCUGCUGAAGGAGAAUGCUUCCGUGAAUCUCUUAACUUACUGAAUCAACUCAGUUUUACACCAGCAAUAAGGAUUGAAGAUGAAUAUAAAGAAGAAGAAUUCAUUUUUUGUUACAGUUUUUCUCUGAGUUUAUAUUCUUUUAUUUUGUACUUCUUUUUAUUUUUGCCAUGUUCUUCAGAUUGUUAGUCAAUGGAAAAUAAUAAUAACAAGUUGUUUAUAGAAAA